rfam:Monodelphis domestica chromosome 2, whole genome shotgun sequence.
GCAAAUAUGGUUUAACCAAAACAUUAGGUUGUGAAUGUAAAUAUAGAAGUUUAAGCCUUCUUAUAUGCU